GCUUAGAUCACAUUUUUUGGUUGGCCCAUGUAGCGAGUCUGCCAAGUUUACACUGCUGGUUUACAAGCGCGUUUCAUUAGAUCCUUUACGGCACGCAAAGGUAGUUCGGAUCCGAUGUAUCACCAGACGACGGAUACAAUGGCUGCUGCUGAGAUUUUUACACCGUCAGCCGGCCCCUCCCCAGGCCACCGCCACACCGGCCAUCCCCAGCCCUCGCAACGAGCAGCCAGAACGGUGCGGGAUCCGGCCGCCACGGGCACCCAGCGAGGCCGCCGGCAGUGGAUCCGGCCACCGCGGGCGGCGUUGCUACUAGUCUGCAUCGACUCCUGCAGCCACUAGUCUUCUCCACCUUCUCUCCUGAUCUGUUCUCCUCGACGACCACGGAGGCGCACCUGCCAUACCUCAUCGGCGGACCACACCACCCACACGCCGACAACUCCCUCAGGCGUCCAGUUCAUCGGAGGUUCGUUUGUGCUCGGCGUGUCGUGCUUCCAGAUCCCUCGAGCAGUUCGGCGACGCUGAGGUGCAGCUUUGGCAUUGUGGGAUGCAGUUCCGUGCACAUCUCCAUGCAGUAUGGGGCAAUGGCUUGGUCUCCAGCAAACUCCCACCUCGCAUCUCUAAAUUCCAGCAAGCAUCACACUUUGCAUUCCCAGGUUCUGCUAGAGAGGCUCAGUUGUGUUUAUUGUGUUGUGGAUUUUCACUGACUUUGUUUUGUUGUGAAGUUCGCAGAUUCUGCUAGAGAGGUUCACUGUCUUCUGUGCAUUCCCAAUACGGUGGUUUUUGUUCCUUGCGAGGAUGGUCGUGAGACUGUCGUGCAGUACGCCGAACCAUAGUGUGAGGUUCACCGGGUGCAUGACUGCAGUGCAGUUUUCUCUAGUGCAAAAAAAUUGCUAAAUUUGGAAUAGUGGACGGCAGUGUGUGUGUGUCAGUGUAGUUUGGCUCCAGUUUUGGGUGCUCCUCUGGUGCGGCGUUGGCCAGUUUGGGAGGCCACGGGAAAGAAAACUCGGGUGUGUUGUGUAGUUCGCUAGUCUCCCAUCUGCAGUACCCAUGUCUUCAGUAAAUUUGUUUGAAGACAGACAAAAAAAUGUAGUCCACUCCAUUUGUGUAGCACCUCGUUACCCCUCUAUAUGAAGUGCAAUUUGUUUCAUGUGUCUCAAAAUUCAGUCGACUACGUCAACACUUGCACUGCGUUUGGUCCUCGGAUAUGAUUUACUUUUAAGAGUGAUGUUGUACACUUGCGCCCAACAUGAAAGUGUGAUUUUUUAAAACUAAACAACAAGAUAGCAAUGAGGUUCACUUCGACAUAUGUCGCGGUUCAUUUGCCCUUGUCUCUGUGGUCCACUCUCGUUCAUAAAAAUGUUCAGAAAAUACAACAAAAACUCACAAAAAACUCGUGUGAGAUAGUUUACGUCCGACAAAAGAAAUCUUGAAGUUCACUUGACUGUCUGAUGCAGUGCGGUUUUCAGUCUAAAAACAGUGCGGGUUUCUUCCUCGUCUUCAAAAAUUUACGUCCCACAAAAAAGAAAUCAUGCAGUCCGCUAGUCCGUCUGAUGCAGUGCGGUUUUCAGUCUAAAAGCAGUGCGGGUUUCUUUCUCGUCUUAAAAAAUUUACGUCCCACAAAAAAGAAAUCAUGUAGUCCGCUAGUUCGUCUGAUGCAGUGCGGUUUCCAGUCUAAAAGUAGUGCGGUUUUCUUCCUCGUCUUUAAAAAUUUACGUCCCACAAAAAAGAAAUCACGCAGUGUCCGCUAAUCCGUUUGAUGCAGUGCGGUUUUCAGUCUAAAAUCAGUGUCGUUUUCUUCCUCGUCUUCAAAAAUUUACGUCCCAUAAAAAAGAAAUCAUGCAGUCCGCUAGUCCGUCUGAUGCAGUGCGGUUUUUAGUCUAAAAGCAGUGCGGUUUCUGUCUGAUGAGGUACAUGCGACGAUUUGGUGUCGCGAAAAAAUAGUCUCUGCAUUUCGUUAAAAUCAAAAUUGCUCUUAAACCGCAAGGAAUCAAAGAGAGUGUUCUACAUGAGAAAGUUACAUCUCAUCGGUAUCUUUCCAAUGGCGUAUAAUUUGAAUUAUUUCGACAAGCGGUUUGUAAAAAAUUCUUGAAAAACAGUCGCUGCCUCUCAUCGUCAGCCACACGAUUUUCAAAAUUAACUAAAAACCGUAAGGAAUCUCAAAACCAUUUCAACAUAUGAAAGUUGCGCCUCGUCCGUAGCUUUCCAACGGCGUAUCACACGUCUCGUUUCGACAAACGGUUCAAAAACUGGAGCGAAAACAGUAUGAAAAUUGCAAAAAUUUCGAAAAAACAGAAUUCCAUGAUUUACUAAAUUUAAAACUGCUUUUAAACCGUAACGAAUUAGAAAAAAAUAAUAGAUAUGAAAAAGAUACGCCUGAUAUCUUUCCAACAGUGUAUCAUUUGCUUAGUUGGUUCGCUGGUAUAGCAGGGAACCAACGCGGCUAAAAAAAACUACCCUGUCCCACCUCCCACUCCCACGUCCUCCACCUCUCUUUCCCACCCCGCACCCAUCCAUGAAUCUCCGCCGACCAUGCCCGCACCUCCAACUGCAGCGCCGGCCACCUCCCCCAGACCCGCCGCCAGGCUCCUCCCGUGGACCCUCCGCCGGUCACCUCCAUGUGCAUAGUCUGUGGAUCACGCCAUUCGCCGCCACCCUCCCUGGAUCUCACCGCCACCUCCGCGUGCCUCCGCUCCCUACCGCCGGCGAUCCUCCUCCAAACGUCCACCGCCCUCCCCUCAACCACCUCCCCGCCACUAGGUGCGUCGCCGCCAGGCUCCCGCGCCCCGGACGCCGGAGGCCCGGGAUCCGGCUGCCACCAUGCGGCGCCGCGACCACCUGCCUCCUACCCCGGCCUACCAGGCUCCCCGCGCCGGCACCUACACCCUGUGUCCAGUGGCCACUGCUCGGCGUCGCCCCGUUCUUCUCCAAAUCCGCGUCAGAGUCGUGGUGUGCACUGCUCCCUUCCCAGUCGCACCACCUUUGCUGUCAGCAGAGGCCGCUGCCUCGAUUUGUCCAGCGAACCUAGUGCACUUGCUGCUGCCACACCUGUUGUUGCUACCAAAAAUGGCUCAGGACACCAGCUCUGAUCCGUCGUACAUGCCCUAAUCCACCCGCGGGAUCUGCCUCCUGCCUUGGCAUCUCUAGUACGUGACCUGCUCCGGCACCUCUGAUCGACCUUCCCUGUCGUCUCUUGCUUGAACGUGUGAACUUCUGCUGCUCCUCCAUGUAAAUCUGCCUACUGCACUACUACGGUUGCUCUAUGUUGUGCCGUUUUGCUGGUUGAAGUUGUUGUUAUUUGCUAGCUUUGUCAUAGGCUACUGCACUUGGAGCUUGAAAAUCAAUUUCAUUGGUUAUGUGUGUGCUUGGAGUGACAACACUAGGCCAUAGAAAAAAUGGAUGCUCCUCGACUACUAAUCCCAUGGCUACCUCAGCUCUACUCGUUCAGGCGACGGGUAACUCUGAUGUUUGUUUCUACAAUAUUGUUUGCAAGUCAGUAUUGUUGGUAUGUAUGCUUCUAUGUUGUUGAUCUUAGUAUGUCAAAGAAGAAUCGUGAAUGAUUGGGUCUACAUCUGCAUAAAAGAGAGUCCCUUUCCGAGUUUUGAUUCGUUAAUUAAUUUCAUGCGUAUGUUGCUAAAAAAGAAUUAACCGUGUAGAAUGUGAAAAACUGAGAUUAGAGUUGUAGUUUUUCUGCUGAUUUUUUGACCAUGUUUCUUGGUUAUCAAGUAAGUGUUCUUCGUUGUUUUCAUCAAUUUCCUAAUUGAUGGAAAAGCUUGCUGCUACUCGCUUCCAGUGUUGUGUACUGUGCUCCUGCUCUCUAAUGUACUAUCUGAAGCUUGUACAGCGUGCCAGAGCAAAAAAUAGGAAGGCACUAAUCUGAAGUUCAGAUAUGAUAAAGAAAGAAGUCGUGCGACCUUGGAUCUAGUGAUUUUCCACGAGCUAUGGCCCCUUUCCCUGAUGCAUAAACGCGGACGACCGCCCUGCAACGUACCUCUUUCUCCCGCUGCUCCAGCAAGCAAGCUCCCAGCGUCGCACCUCCAGCCUGCGACCUUCCCUUCUGCCACCUCUCCACCGACUGUUGCUGCCUCCUGGCCAUAUGAAUGGCGUUGCCGAAGUCCACAUUGUACCACACCAGCAGGACAACUCCUACAGGUCGUGCCAAUCGUCUUUCUUCCACCGUCCAUGGUCGCCAUCGCCGUCAAUAAAGUUGUACUCGAUCCAUGUGUAAUAUGUUUGCAGUACGCGCUUGAUGCAUUUGAUCGCCUCAUGCAGUGCUCCAGGGAAGUAGCCGGAGGCAGGAGCUAGCUGCACACUCGCUGAUUUUGGCAUAGCCUAGUGGUUGUUAACCAAGCUAAGCAGGUCAUGUUUGUGUCAGCUAGAAGUACUAGUGUGAGGCGUUAUGUAGAGUGAUUUUCUUAUGGGUUUGAGUGAGUUAGAUGUACCAGGAUGGGAGAUGCGAGUGUUCUUUACUUGUGAGUUUAUCAUAAUUGUUGUUACCGUGUC